CAUGCCUGGGCACAGACUUAGGUGAACGUUUACUGUGCCUCUGCGUCACGAGAAAGCAAGUGCCCAACAGUGUCAUGACUUCACUGCCCACAGUCAACAUGGCAGCUGGGGGAACGGGGACAGAGAGCUGCCUCACCAGGUCUGGCCUCCAAGAGUCUGCACACUCAACCCUGGAUAAAUACUAAUAUCCCCAUCUGACAGACGCGGAAACUGAGGCUCGGAGCUGCAAACAGCCUAGCAAAGGUCAUGGGUCCACAGAACGACUUCGGUUUGCCCCAGACUGACCAGCACGAGCUAGGAAUGCAAAUCCGGUGUCCAAGGCUCACCAGGCUGCCUCAGACCCAGCCAGCUGACACUCAAGCCCCAGCUACAGUUCACCCUCCCCUGUGGGCCCUAACUCACAGAAGGGCCAGCCGCCCCUCCUGCUCUCCAGCUGUGCUCAUCCCCUCCCCAAGUCCACUCCAAAGUGUCCUGGCGGGGGCCGACAGGGGACUCCCUCUUGCUGCCCCCCCCUCCCCGUGAAGAGAAGGGAUGGUCAAGAGCCCUGCCUGACUACUGCUCAGUCGUCCCCACAGUGCAGAAACAAAUAAAAACUGGAAUUAUCUCCACUUCAGAGACACCAAGAGCCCGAGAGGACCAGUGGUCCAUCCACACAGGGAAGAGCCGGGCAGGCCUGGGCCACACACUCUGCCUGGGUGCCUGCUCCAUCGGCCCGCCGUCCAGGACACCCUCUGGGCCAGGCCCAAUCCUGGGUCUCCCAGAGGAAGUUCCUUCCUGUCCCAGCCUCCCCAGCCUGCAGCCGCAGCCCCUCAGCCUCGCGCACUGAUUGCUGGAGACAAGCGCUUGGGCCCUUUCAUCUCCGCUCCGAGCGCGGCCAGACCUGCCUAGUCACAGCAGUGUCCAGGAAUAAAUGUGUUUGGAUAAGA